AAAGGAAUUGACGGGAGCUCACACAAGCGGAGGAGCAUGUUGUUCAAUUCGACGCAACGCGAAGAACCUUACCUGGGCUUGACAUGCUGGAAGUAGGAACCUGAAAGGGGGACGGCCGGUAACCAGUCCGGAACCAGCACAGGUGCUGCAUGGCUGUCGUCAGUUCGUGUCGUGAGACGUUAGGUUAAGUCCUGUAACGAACGAAACCCCUGUCGCUUGUUGCCACCGGGUCAUGCCGGGCACUCUGGCGAGACUGCCGAUGUCAAAUCGGAGGAAGGUGGGGACGACGUCAAGUCAUCAUGGUCCUUACGCCCAGGGCCACAAACGUGCUACAAUGGCCGAUACAGAGAGACGCGAUGCCGCGAGGCGGAGCAAAUCUUCAAAAUCGGCCCCAGUUCGGAUUGGAGGCUGCAAUUCGCCUCCAUGAAGUUGGAUUCGCUAGUAAUCGCGGAUCAGCCACGCCGCGGUGAAUACGUUCCUGAGCUUUGUACACACCGCCCGU
rnacentral:rRNA from 1 species